UACGUAGGGUGCAAGCGUUGUCCGGAAUUAUUGGGCGUAAAGAGCUCGUAGGCGGUUUGUUGCGUCGGCUGUGAAAUCCCGAGGCUCAACCUCGGGUCUGCAGUGGGUACGGGCAGACUGGAGUGCGGUAGGGGAGAAUGGAAUUCCUGGUGUAGCGGUGGAAUGCGCAGAUAUCAGGAGGAACACCGAUGGCGAAGGCAGUUCUCUGGGCCGUAACUGACGCUGAGGAGCGAAAGCGUGGGGAGCGAACAGG
rnacentral:rRNA from 1 species